GUCCAGAAAAGCGUUGGACACUGACAGGC
rnacentral:piRNA from 1 species